CUUUUCCUUAAAAGCAAUGUGAGCCAAUCACGGCUCCGCCUCACCGACCUGCUCUUUGCCGCGGGACAUCCUCGACAACAUUCCACAUAGCUGCCAGGUCUUCCAGCCAAGGAUGAUGGCGCCCCUAGAGAAGGAGCCUGGCAACAUGCGACAACCGAUCUCGACCGUCACAGCCUCGUAGAGGUCUUUUUGUCGUCCCAUUUUUUGUUUUUUGUACUAUCUGAGAUGCCAAUAUAGAUAGUGACAUGUACACACAGCAUAUCUCCAAGGUUACAUGAGCGACAAUACAAAAGGUGGCAUGCCACAUAGUAUAGGGAUCAAACAUUAAGUGUUUUUAUAAUCUCAAGCUCAAAUGCACCCGCAUGAACACAACAAAUUUCGAAGAAGAAAAAUAAAAAAAAUCUGAAUUGUUUUGGAUAAACAUCAACAAGUUCUCUAACAUCCUGCACAUUUUCUCCCUGGAAAGACAUUAGUAGAGGUGUGUGCAAAAAAAUUGCUCAAAAUUUUAGUCCCAAAAUUUUGUAUUUUGUACUAUCUGAGAUGCCAAUAUAGAUCGUGACACGUACACAUAGCAUAUCUCCAAGGUUACAUGAGCGACAAUACAAAAGGUAUCAAACAUUAGCUACACACGGCUGGUACGUACGUACGUAUAACGUAUUUACAGGGAUAGUACAAAGCUAGCUUAGCAAAGUAAUUAAAGAGAUACCAUGCAAAAAAAAGUAAUUAAAGAGAUGAUGAUCAG
rnacentral:lncRNA from 1 species